rnacentral:rRNA from 1 species
GUUUUUAACAUCAUCUCAUAGCGAGCCGAUGAGGGGUCCCACUGCUUGCUCGUAGAAGAGCUGUUUUUAUGUCUAAAAAGCGUGGAGAGAAAGGGGUGGGAAAGACGGGUGAGAGGCGCCGCGGAUAUACCUGCAGCUCAAGUGGUGACCGCUAUUAUUGGGCCUAAAACGUUCGUAGCCGGCUUGGUAAAUGUCUGGGUAAAUCGUGUAGCUUAACUAUACGAAUUCCGGGUAGACUGCCAAACUUGAGACCGGGAGAAGCUAGAGGUACUCCUGGGGUAGAGGUGAAAUUCUGUAAUCCUGGGGGGACCACCAGGGGCGAAGGCGUCUAGCUAGAACGGGUUUGACGGUGAGAAACGAAGCCCUGGGGCGCAAACCGGAUUAGAUACCCGGUUAGUCCAGGGUGUAAACGCUGCUUGCUUGAUGUUAGUUGGGCUCCGAGCCCAAUUAGGGUCGGAGAGAAGUUGUUAAGCAAGCUGCCUGGAAAGUACAAUCCCAAGAUUGAAACUUAAAGGAAUUGGCGGGGGACCACAGCAACGGGGGGAGCGGGCGGUUUAUUUGGUUUCAACGCCGGAAAACUCACCGAAGGCAACGGUAACUUGAGGCCAGGCCUGAUGCCCUUCCUUAAUUUCCGAGAGUUGGUGAAUGGCCGCCGUCAGUCCGAACCGAAAGCCGUUCUGUUAAUCAAAAUACGAACGAAACCCUCUUUUUAAUGCACUAUUAGUCCGCUUAAUAGGCCAUUAAAGAAACCGUGGCGAAAGUCAAAGAAGCCAGGGCACGUAGUCAGUUGCCCUGAAUCUCCGGGUAAACGCGGCUACAAGGUAGACAUGACUCAACACGAGGGUGAGGAAUCUCGAACCAGUCUAGUCGGAUUGAGGUGAAACUCCCUCAUGAGUGAUCGUGUAUCCAGACACUCUGGUGAAUGCCUGCUCUUGCACACGAGGCGAUCGUAACUUGAGACUGCCUUAGGAGGUAAUCGAGCUGCCGAUCUGACAACGUGUCCGGA